rnacentral:rRNA from 1 species
AACGUAGGGUGCAAGCGUUGUCCGGAAUUACUGGGUGUAAAGGGAGCGCAGGCGGGAAGACAAGUUGGAAGUGAAAACCAUGGGCUCAACCCAUGAAUUGCUUUCAAAACUGUUUUUCUUGAGUAGUGCAGAGGUAGAUGGAAUUCCCGGUGUAGCGGUGGAAUGCGUAGAUAUCGGGAGGAACACCAGUGGCGAAGGCGGUCUACUGGGCACCAACUGACGCUGAGGCUCGAAAGCAUGGGUAGCAAACAGGAUUAGAUACCCUGGUAGUCCAUGCCGUAAACGAUGAUUACUAGGUGUUGGGGGAUUGACCCCCUCAGUGCCGCAGUUAACACAAUAAGUAAUCCACCUGGGGAGUACGACCGCAAGGUUGAA